AGAGUUUGAUCCUGGCUCAGAAUCAACGCUGGCGGCGUGCCUCAGACAUGCAAGUCGAACGAUUAAAGCUCUCUUCGGAGAGUGCAUAGAGUGGCGCACGGGUGAGUAACACGUAAGUAAUCUACCCUCGAGUGGGGAAUAACGUCCGGAAACGGACGCUAAUACCGCAUAAUGCAGCGGCACCGCAAGGUGACAGUUGUUAAAGGAGAAAUUCGCUUGAGGAGGAGCUUGCGGCAGAUUAGCUUGUUGGUAAGGUAACGGCUUACCAAGGCUACGAUCUGUAACCGGUCUAAGAGGACGGUCGGUCACACUGACACUGAAUAACGGGUCAGACUCCUACGGGAGGCAGCAGUCGGGAAUUUUGGGCAAUGGGCGAAAGCCUGACCCAGCAACGCCGCGUGAAGGAUGAAGUAUUUCGGUAUGUAAACUUCGAAAGAAUGGGAAGAAUCAAUGACGGUACCAUUUAUAAGGUCCGGCUAACUACGUGCCAGCAGCCGCGGUAAUACGUAGGGACCAAGCGUUAAUCGGAAUUACUGGGCGUAAAGCGUGCGUAGACGGUUAUUUAAGUCGGAUGUGAAAGCCCCGGGCUCAACCUGGGAAUUGCAUUCGAGACUGAAUAGCUAGGGUGCGGUAGAGGGAAGCGGAAUUUCCGGUGUAGCGGUGAAAUGCGUAGAUUUCGGAAGGAACAUCAGUGGCGAAAGCGGCUUCCUGGACCA
rnacentral:rRNA from 1 species